rnacentral:rRNA from 1 species
GAGUUUGAUCAUGGCUCAGGAUGAACGCUGACAGAAUGCUUAACACAUGCAAGUCUACUUGAUCCUUCGGGUGAAGGUGGCGGACGGGUGAGUAACGCGUAAAGAACUUGCCUUACAGACUGGGACAACAUUUGGAAACGAAUGCUAAUACCGGAUAUUAUGAUUGGGUCGCAUGAUCUGAUUAUGAAAGCUAUAUGCGCUGUGAGAGAGCUUUGCGUCCCAUUAGUUAGUUGGUGAGGUAACGGCUCACCAAGACGAUGAUGGGUAGCCGGCCUGAGAGGGUGAACGGCCACAAGGGGACUGAGACACGGCCCUUACUCCUACGGGAGGCAGCAGUGGGGAAUAUUGGACAAUGGACCAAAAGUCUGAUCCAGCAAUUCUGUGUGCACGAUGAAGUUUUUCGGAAUGUAAAGUGCUUUCAGUUGGGAAGAAGUCAGUGACGGUACCAACAGAAGAAGCGACGGCUAAAUACGUGCCAGCAGCCGCGGUAAUACGUAUGUCGCAAGCGUUAUCCGGAUUUAUUGGGCGUAAAGCACGUCUAGGCGGCUUAGUAAGUCUGAUGUGAAAAUGCGGGGCUCAACCCCGUAUUGCGUUGGAAACUGCUAAACUAGAGUACUGGAGAGGUAGGCGGAACUACAAGUGUAGAGGUGAAAUUCGUAGAUAUUUGUAGGAAUGCCGAUGGGGAAGCCAGCCUACUGGACAGAUACUGACGCUAAAGCGCGAAAGCGUGGGUAGCAAACAGGAUUAGAUACCCUGGUAGUCCACGCCGU